rnacentral:rRNA from 1 species
CACGGGGGUUGCGAGCGUUGUCCGGAAUUACUAGGCGUAAAGGGCAGGCAGGCGGAUCCAUAAGUUUAUCGUUUAAGGCGUCGGCUUAACCGGCGUAGGGCGGUAGAUACUGUGGAUCUGGAAUGCGGUUGGGGAAGACAGAAUUCCUGGUGUAGCGGUGGAAUGCGCAGAGAUCAGGAGGAAUACCGAAGGCGAAGGCAGUCUUCCAAGCCGUUAUUGACGCUCAACUACGAAGGUGUGGGUAUCAAACAGGAUUAGAUACCCGCGUAGUCCCUGAGCGGG